GGUGGCUCAAUGGUAGAGUGCUUGCCUUGCAUGCAUAAGGCCCUGGGUUCAAUUCCUCAGCACCA
rnacentral:tRNA from 1 species